rnacentral:rRNA from 1 species
AUUGAACGCUGGCGGUAUGCUUAACACAUGCAAGUCGAACGGUAACAGGCCUUCGGGCGCUGACGAGUGGCGGACGGGUGAGUAACGCGUAGGAAUCUGCCUCAUAGUGGGGGACAACGUGGGGAAACUCACGCUAAUACCGCAUACGCCCUACGGGGGAAAGCGGGGGACCUUCGGGCCUCGCGCUAUGAGAUGAGCCUGCGUUGGAUUAGCUAGUUGGUAGGGUAAAGGCCUACCAAGGCGACGAUCUAUAGCGGGGCUGAGAGGACGAUCAGCCACACUGGGACUGAGACACGGCCCAGACUCCUACGGGAGGCAGCAGUGGGGAAUAUUGGACAAUGGGCGCAAGCCCGAUCCAGCAAUACCGCGUGUGUGAAGAAGGCCUUAGGGUUGUAAAGCACUUUCAAUGGGGAGGAAUACCUGGCGGUUAAUACCUGUCAGACUGACAUUACCCAUACAAGAAGCACCGGCUAACUCCGUGCCAGCAGCCGCCGUAAAAC